rnacentral:rRNA from 1 species
CCUACGGGUGGCAGCAGUGGGGAAUAUUGGGCAAUGGGCGCAAGCCUGACCCAGCAACGCCGCGUGAAGGAAGAAGGCCCUCGGGUUGUAAACUUCUUUUGUCAGGGACGCAACAAAUGACGGUACCUGACGAAUAAGCCACGGCUAACUACGUGCCAGCAGCCCCGGUAAUACGUAGGUGGCAAGCGUUAUCCGGAUUUACUGGGUGUAAAGGGCGUGUAGGCGGGAGAGCAAGUCAGAUGGGAAAUCCCAGGGGUCAACCCUGGAACUGCAUUUGAAACUGUUUUUCUUGAGUGAUGGAGAAGCAGGCGGAAUUCCGUGUGUAGCGGUGAAAUGCGUAGAUAUACGGAGGAAAACCAGUGGCGAAGGCGGCCUGCUGGACAUUAACUGACGCUGAGGCGCGAAAGCGUGGGGAGCCAACAGGAUUAGAUACCCGGGUAGUC